AGCUUUUAAAUAACUAUUAAAGAUAUUAUCCCCUUGUAGUGUAGUUUAAUAGCUAUCUACAUAAUAACUUAAUAUAAAGUAUAAUAGUUUAUAUUUUAUAAUAUGACGUUAACAAUUUUGUUUAAUAUUUGAAAAUGUUAGUAUUAGUAAUAUUAGUAUAUGUGCUAAAGGAACUCGGCAAAAAACCACUCAACUGUUUAUCAAAAACAUAGCUAUAUGAAUUAAUAUAUAGUUAUUUCUGCUCAAUGACUUAAAUAGCCGCAGUACUCUGACUGUGCAAAGGUAGCAUAAUCAGUUGGCUUUUAAUUAGAGUCUGGUAUGAACGAAAAUAUGGGUAGUAACUGUCUUAGCACAUUUUUCCGAACUUAUUAAACAAGUGCAAAUGCUUGUAAUUUAACAAUAGACGAGAAGACCCUAGAAACUUGGACAAGUUUUUGUUGGGGCGACAGAAUUACAUUUAACUAAUCUUAUAAUACACGACGCGAUGUUGAAAGAAUAAGUUACUCUAGGGAUAACAGCAUAAUUUCAUUAGUUUGUGACCUCGAUGUUGGACUAGGUACUAUACCCUUAAGGCAAGGAUAUAUUAUGCUCUGUUCGAGCAAAAUUACCUACAUGAUCUGAGUUCAGACCGG
rnacentral:rRNA from 1 species